UACGUAGGGGGCAAGCGUUGUCCGGAAUUAUUGGGCGUAAAGAGCGUGUAGGCGGUCCGGUAAGUCAGCUGUGAAAGUCAAGGGCUCAACCCUUGAAAGCCGGUUGAUACUGUCGGGCUAGAGUCCGGAAGAGGCGAGUGGAAAUUCCCGGUGUAGCGGUGAAAAUGCGCAGAUAUCGGGAGGAACACCAAUGGCGAAGGCAGCUCGCUGGGACGGUACUGACGCUGAGACGCGAAAAGCGUGGGGAGCAAACAGGG
rnacentral:rRNA from 1 species